rnacentral:lncRNA from 1 species
UUAGGGUCACGUCUACUCAAAUGAUCUUCAACUAGCAUGUUAACAUCAGUGCCAUUUGUAUUUUCCAGGCUGAUUCUACCUUUGGUGGUCUGUUUAUCUCUACCUGCAUGCCCAGGAAAAGACAGCCCCGCAUCACUUCUGAUUUGGUGACCUCAGGAGACUGCUCAGGGGGAAUCCAGGGACGAGAAAUUCAAUGGUUGCAGUUUUAUAGUCUUUAUCAGACCAUGAAGGCUGUAAUCAAAAGAUAAGAGCUAUCAUCUGUCACCUCAAUCAAGUUUCAAGAGAAAAUCAUUGCAAGAGAGCCUCUGGGAGCUUCUGCUACUUCUUCCAACCUGCUGAACUAUGUUCAAUCCAGGUAAUCACCUUUUUCCUUCUUAAAGUUAUGAACAGUCUUCCCUUCCUGGGGAAAUGCAGUUAUUCAUUACCUUGUGACUGUUCCCAUGACUGGGGAGUGUUCCUGUGGAUGCAGGUGUGUGGGACUGAGGUCAAAGCAAACCUCCAUGGCUAGAAAUUAGGGUGUGGGAAGUGGAAUUGUCCCUAGAGAUGAAGAUUUAGAAGUAAUUCCCAAUCUGUGCUCCCUCUUGAAUGAGGGGCCUGUUCAGAACCAGCCCAUCACAGCAGUGAGACAAAUCACAAUUGGUCUUCCUCCCCGAUACUGCAGAAUGGUCAGGAGAGGGCUACUUGGGGUUCUGGAAGCUGAGUUGACCAGUUUUGAAAGGGGAAGAAGGACCCAGUGUUUGUUCAAGGCUUUGCUCCUUCUGGAUCCAUCUUUCAUCCAAGUUCUUUCAUGAGACUGUCAGACCAGGGCUUCUCUGAACCCCUCAGCCAAAUCCUCAUCUGGUAAAAUCUGAAAGAACCCCAUUUAUUUCAAGGGAUCUGCACCCCCUCAGUCUGUGGGGGAGCCUGGAAGGAGCCAGUGAGAGCACCGGGAUGCCGAAGGUGAAGUGAUGGGGCUGGGAUGUGGAAGGUUCGGAAGCUGCAGGUGAGC